rnacentral:rRNA from 1 species
GGUUAAGCGACUAAGCGUACACGGUGGAUGCCCUGGCAGUCAGAGGCGAUGAAGGACGUGCUAAUCUGCGAAAAGCGUCGGUAAGGUGAUAUGAACCGUUACAGCCGGCGAUGUCCGAAUGGGGAAACCCAGUGCAAUUCGUUGCACUAUCGUUAACUGAAUACAUAGGUUAACGAGGCGAACCGGGGGAACUGAAACAUCUAAGUACCCCGAGGAAAAGAAAUCAACCGAGAUUCCCCCAGUAGCGGCGAGCGAACGGGGAGCAGCCCAGAGUCUGAAUCAGCUUGUGUGUUAGUGGAACGGUCUGGAAAGUCCGACGGUACAGGGUGAUAGUCCCGUACACCAAAAUGCACAGGCUGUGAACUCGAAGAGUAGGGCGGGACACGUGGUAUCCUGUCUGAAUAUGGGGGGACCAUCCUCCAAGGCUAAAUACUCCUGACUGACCGAUAGUGAACCAGUACCGUGAGGGAAAGGCGAAAAGAACCCCGGCGAGGGGAGUGAAAAAGAACCUGAAACCGUGUACGUACAAGCAGUGGGAGCACCUUCGGGUGUGACUGCGUACCUUUUGUAUAAUGGGUCAGCGACUUAUAUUCUGUAGCAAGGUUAACCGUAUAGGGGAGCCGCAGGGAAACCGAGUCUUAACUGGGCGUUAAGUUGCAGGGUAUAGACCCGAAACCCGGUGAUCUAGCCAUGGGCAGGUUGAAGGUUGGGUAACACUAACUGGAGGACCGAACCGACUAAUGUUGAAAAAUUAGCGGAUGACUUGUGGCUGGGGGUGAAAGGCCAAUCAAACCGGGAGAUAGCUGGUUCUCCCCGAAAGCUAUUUAGGUAGCGCCUCGUGAACUCAUCUUCGGGGGUAGAGCACUGUUUCGGCUAGGGGGUCAUCCCGACUUACCAACCCGAUGCAAACUACGAAUACCGAAGAAUGUUAUCACGGGAGACACACGGCGGGUGCUAACGUCCGUCGUGAAGAGGGAAACAACCCAGACCGCCAGCUAAGGUCCCAAAGUCAUGGUUAAGUGGGAAACGAUGUGGGAAGGCACAGACAGCCAGGAUGUUGGCUUAGAAGCAGCCAUCAUUUAAAGAAAGCGUAAUAGCUCACUGGUCGAGUCGGCCUGCGCGGAAGAUGUAACGGGGCUAAACCAUGCACCGAAGCUGCGGCAGCGACACUAUGUGUUGUUGGGUAGGGGAGCGUUCUGUAAGCCUGCGAAGGUGUGCUGUGAGGCAUGCUGGAGGUAUCAGAAGUGCGAAUGCUGACAUAAGUAACGAUAAAGCGGGUGAAAAGCCCGCUCGCCGGAAGACCAAGGGUUCCUGUCCAACGUUAAUCGGGGCAGGGUGAGUCGACCCCUAAGGCGAGGCCGAAAGGCGUAGUCGAUGGGAAACAGGUUAAUAUUCCUGUACUUGGUGUUACUGCGAAGGGGGGACGGAGAAGGCUAUGUUAGCCGGGCGACGGUUGUCCCGGUUUAAGCAUGUAGGCUGGUUGUCCAGGCAAAUCCGGAUAAUCAAGGCUGAGGUGUGAUGACGAGGCACUACGGUGCUGAAGUAACAAAUGCCCUGCUUCCAGGAAAAGCCUCUAAGCAUCAGGUAACAUCAAAUCGUACCCCAAACCGACACAGGUGGUCAGGUAGAGAAUACCAAGGCGCUUGAGAGAACUCGGGUGAAGGAACUAGGCAAAAUGGUGCCGUAACUUCGGGAGAAGGCACGCUGGUGUGUAGGUGAAGUCCCUGCGGAUGGAGCUGAGACCAGUCGAAGAUACCAGCUGGCUGCAACUGUUUAUUAAAAACACAGCACUGUGCAAACACGAAAGUGGACGUAUACGGUGUGACGCCUGCCCGGUGCCGGAAGGUUAAUUGAUGGGGUUAUCCGUAAGGAGAAGCUCUUGAUCGAAGCCCCGGUAAACGGCGGCCGUAACUAUAACGGUCCUAAGGUAGCGAAAUUCCUUGUCGGGUAAGUUCCGACCUGCACGAAUGGCGUAAUGAUGGCCAGGCUGUCUCCACCCGAGACUCAGUGAAAUUGAACUCGCUGUGAAGAUGCAGUGUACCCGCGGCAAGACGGAAAGACCCCGUGAACCUUUACUAUAGCUUGACACUGAACAUUGAGCCUUGAUGUGUAGGAUAGGUGGGAGGCUUUGAAGCGUGGACGCCAGUCUGCGUGGAGCCAACCUUGAAAUACCACCCUUUAAUGUUUGAUGUUCUAACGUUGGCCCCUUACCGGGGUUGCGGACAGUGUCUGGUGGGUAGUUUGACUGGGGCGGUCUCCUCCCAAAGCGUAACGGAGGAGCACGAAGGUUAGCUAAUCCUGGUCGGACAUCAGGAGGUUAGUGCAAUGGCAUAAGCUAGCUUGACUGCGAGCGUGACGGCGCGAGCAGGUGCGAAAGCAGGUCAUAGUGAUCCGGUGGUUCUGAAUGGAAGGGCCAUCGCUCAACGGAUAAAAGGUACUCCGGGGAUAACAGGCUGAUACCGCCCAAGAGUUCAUAUCGACGGCGGUGUUUGGCACCUCGAUGUCGGCUCAUCACAUCCUGGGGCUGAAGUAGGUCCCAAGGGUAUGGCUGUUCGCCAUUUAAAGUGGUACGCGAGCUGGGUUUAGAACGUCGUGAGACAGUUCGGUCCCUAUCUGCCGUGGGCGCUGGAGAAUUGAGGGGGGCUGCUCCUAGUACGAGAGGACCGGAGUGGACGCAUCACUGGUGUUCGGGUUGUCAUGCCAAUGGCACUGCCCGGUAGCUAAAUGCGGAAGAGAUAAGUGCUGAAAGCAUCUAAGCACGAAACUUGCCCCGAGAUGAGUUCUCCCUGAGACUUUAAGUCUCCUGAAGGAACGUUAAAGACGAUGACGUUGAUAGGCCGGGUGUGUAAGCGCAGCGAUGCGUUGAGCUAACCGGUACUAAUGAACCGUGAGGCUUAACCUU